rnacentral:rRNA from 1 species
ACGAACGCUGGCGGCGUGCCUAAUACAUGCAAGUAGAACGCACAGUUUAUACCGUAGCUUGCUACACCAUAAACUGUGAGUUGCGAACGGGUGAGUAACGCGUAGGUAACCUGCCUGGUAGCGGGGGAUAACUAUUGGAAACGAUAGCUAAUACCGCAUAAUAUUGAUUAUUGCAUGAUAAUUGAUUGAAAGAUGCUAUUGCAUCACUACCAGAUGGACCUGCGUUGUAUUAGCUAGUAGGUGAGGUAACGGCUCACCUAGGCGACGAUACAUAGCCGACCUGGGAGGGUGAUCGGCCACACUGGGACUGAGACACGGCCCAGACUCCUACGGGAGGCAGCAGUAGGGAAUCUUCGGGAAUGGGCGAAAGUCUGACCGAGCAACGCCGGGUGAGUGAAGAAGGGUUUCGGAUCGUAAAGCUCUGUUGUAAGAGAAGAACGGGUGUGAGAGUGGAAAGUUCACACUGUGACGGUAGCUUACCAGAAAGGGACGGCUAACUACGUG